GCCGUAAUCGUCUAGUGGUUAGGACCCUACGUUGUGGAUCACAACGUAUAACAAAACCGUAGUAACCCAGGUUCGAAUCCUGGUUACGGCA
rfam:Daphnia pulex DAPPTscaffold_7_Cont512, whole genome shotgun sequence.